UGGGGAAUAUUGCACAAUGGAGGGAACUCUGAUGCAGCGACGCCGCGUGAACGAAGAAGGCUUUCGAGUCGUAAAGUUCUUUUAUAUGGGAAGAUAAUGACGGUACCAUAAGAAGAAGCCCCGGCUAACUACGUGCCAGCAGCCGCGGUAAUACGUAGGGGGCUAGCGUUGUCCGGAAUCACUGGGCGUAAAGGGUUCGCAGGCGGAAAUGCAAGUCAGGUGUAAAAGGCAGUAGCUUAACUACUGUAAGCAUUUGAAACUGCAUAUCUUGAUAAGAGUAGAGGUAAGUGGAAUUUUUAGUGUAGCGGUGAAAUGCGUAGAUAUUAAAAAGAAUACCGGUGGCGAAGGCGACGUACUGGGCUCAUUCUGACGCUGAGGAACGAAAGCGUGGGUAGCAAACAGG
rnacentral:rRNA from 1 species